rnacentral:rRNA from 1 species
GAUGAACGCUGGCGGCGUGCCUAAUACAUGCAAGUCGAGCGAACAGACGAGGAGCUUGCUCCUCUGACGUUAGCGGCGGACGGGUGAGUAACACGUGGAUAACCUACCUAUAAGACUGGGAUAACUUCGGGAAACCGGAGCUAAUACCGGAUAACAUGUUGAACCGCAUGGUUUAACAGUGAAAGACGGUCUUGCUGUCACUUAUAGAUGGAUCCGCGCCGCAUUAGCUAGUUGGUAAGGUAACGGCUUACCAAGGCAACGAUGCGUAGCCGACCUGAGAGGGUGAUCGGCCACACUGGAACUGAGACACGGUCCAGACUCCUACGGGAGGCAGCAGUAGGGAAUCUUCCGCAAUGGGCGAAAGCCUGACGGAGCAACGCCGCGUGAGUGAAGAAGGUCUUCGGAUCGUAAAACUCUGUUAUUAGGGAAGAACAAAUGUGUAAGUAACUAUGCACGUCUUGACGGUACCUAAUCAGAAGGCCACGGCUAACUACGUG